GUGAGACCCUGUCUCAAAAACAACAAAAACAAAACAUUGCUAUAUAUAACAUUGAAAAUUUGGCAUAAAAAAGCAAAGUAGCCCCCAAGAAAGAGGUUUGAAACUAAGUGUUAAGCAUUUACUGAGUCCCUAGACCCACUCCCUCUUUUUAUGAGGCCCUAUGUGGGUCUCAUACAGGCAUUAGAAACAAUCCCAAAUUACUAUUGCUGUGUAACCUCAAAACUGAAGAGCUUAAAACAACAGUAAUUGUUUCACGUCGUGGUUUCUGUGGGUCAGGAUUUGGGAAAGGCUCAAACUUGACAGUUGUAGCUCAAGAGUAUCCUGCACUUGUAGUUGUCAGCUGGAAUAGCACGAGGCUGGCUGGCCAGGCAUCUCCCAAUGUGUGUGGUUACAGGGUCUCUCAGGUGGCCUCUCUGUGGGCUAGUUUGGGCUUCCUCACCACAUGGGUAGCUUCAAAGGUAGAAUUUUUUAUGAGGCGGCUCAGGGCCACCAGCUAGUUGCUCCAACAAAUCAACCAUCAGCAGCACUGCCUUUUAUGACCUAGCCUUGGAAGUCAUCCCAGCAUCACUUUUGUCACAUUAUUCAGUCACCUCUCCAUCUAGAGAAUGUCACAGAUUUUGUUGACAUUUAAAAUUGCCACCUCCCACCUCAAGAAGCCCAGCUGGUGUGGGAGGCAAGACUGGUCCAGACGAUGGCACCAAGACUACCAAAAAUAAGCUGCCCCAGGAAAAAACGGCUGGAGGUGAGUGGUCUGGUGGGAAGAACACUGGACUAGGAUCCUGGCCCUGGCUUCUGUUGUUCCUGAAUAUGGCUCUCUCUCUACUCAAGAAGCGGGUACAGUUUCUGAAUAUUUUUACACCAGACUCAAUUGGCUUUGAUAAGGUGCAGCCCAGAAUCCAGAACUUCAUCCCUUCUUAACUCUCAACAUGGCAGGGCUCUCAGACAGGAAGGAGGGGGCAGACUGGGUGGAUAAAUUUUGACAGCAGGGGCCAGGCUGGCUUUGACUCUGUUGUCCUGGACUGACUCCCUGGGCUCUGCCAGCCCACUCUUCUCCACUGUGGCUGGACAUGGAACCUCCCUCAUGGAGUCUUACCCUGUCCUUUGUCAAGUCGAUUUGGGGUGGGCAAGGGGAAAGACAUUUUUCAAGGAUAAUCAUGCCUGGUCAUUAAGCUAACCUCACAUACUUAUUUGAAGGCAAAUUCUAGUAAUUUUAAGUUAAUUUUUAAGCUCACACAUGCCCUUCCUUCUUUCCCAUUUUGUUUUAUACACAGGAGGUGUUUUGUGGAAAUUUAAAGAAAGCAAAAAGAGCAGGCUGAUUAUAACUUAAAGUGACUCAGCAGGAAAACAGAGUUGUUUGUGGGCAGAAUGAGUGGGAGGAAAAGGCAAGGCAGGCUGGCUUAUAAACCCAUAACCCUUUUAGUUUACACAAAGGACUAAACCUGAUCGAUUUCAACUUGGGUUUCCCUCCACAAGAAGAGUAGAGGUUUCAUGACUCCUGUCAAAUCAUCACUAAGACAACAAAAGUUUGAAUGUCAGGCUCUUGCUCCUUUGCAGCUAGCCCAAGACCAAAGAGCUCCUCAGUGACAAGCACAUCCCCUGUCAAGGUUGCAGGCCCAGAACAAACAGAAAAUCAGACACACACACAGGUGGCCCUCCCCUUAUUUGUCCUUCACUUGAAAGUAGCAAUCCUCAGCCAAGGCAGGAAGGGGCUCAGGGAGGCUUAGGAGAGGGGAGGGAAGAGGAAUACCUGACCUAGGACAAGCUCUGGAGGCACGAAUACAAUGCAGAACUUCAUUCCAUAAACAGCCUCAAAGUGGGCACAGAAAAAAAUGUUUGCCAUCUCUGAGAACUGUGGGUUCCCCAAACCUUCUCAAGCCUUGAAAGAGCUGACAAGCACAAGUGCUACCUGUAAUAGGGGAAAUGUUCUGGGGUUGUUCUUGAUGAGCAAACUCAUCCAGCUGCAGGAGUCAGUCACUGCUCUGGCUGGCUGGCUAUGAAAAGGAAAUUCUUUUCCAUGGCUGUCACUGAAUAAUUCACAGCUCUUGUACUGUGACACUUAGGCCUCAACUUGGGAUAAAAGAAGGGAGAUGCAGUCUGGGGACUGACAAUAGAGUACAGCACACCCACCCCCAGUGCAGUGCCAGGCGCGACGUGCUCCUAGUGCUUUGGUGACCCAGUGGUGAGGCAGCUGGAAGGCAGGAGGCCUGAGGAUGCUCUCACAAUUAACUGGAUGCCCUUCCUGUCUCCGACUUUCCUCUUUCAAACUUCUCAUCUUUCUGCCUUAUCUCUCGGGUCCCCUUAACAUCUAGCUACUGCAGAAGUCACCCAGAGAGAAUCAUACUUGCUUGAAAUGAGCACCCCGUUUUCUUUUUUCUUUUCUUUUUUUCAGACUGAGUCUCGCUCUGUUGCCCAGGCUGGAGUGCAGUGGCGCAAUCUCAGCUCACUGCAACCUCUGCCUCCCGGGUUCUAGUGAUUCUCCUGCCUCAGACUCCCGAGUUGCUGGGAUUACAGGCACACACCACCACACCCAGUUAAUUUUCGCAUUUUUAGUAGAGAUGGGGUUUCACCAUGUUGGGCAGGCUGGUCUCAAACUCCUGACCUCAAGUGAUCUGCCCGCCUCAGCCUCCCAAUGUGCUGGAAUUACAGAUGUUGAGUCACGGUGUCCGGCCCCCAUUUUCUUUUCUAAAAAUAUUCACUCUUUACCCAUAGACAGAUAACAAGGAUGAAUUACUUUAUACAUCUAAAUGGGACCUAUUCCUUUGAACUCUAAAGUUUAGAGUCAAACAUGGAUGGAGAGGGGGAGUAGUCAGCAAUAUAAAAAUCUCCAGGGGAGGGUGUAGACCCUUGGAAGAAGUCCCCCAAAGUGACUCUCAAAUGGAUCCCACCUCCAACCAGUGAAGAAUCACUGGAAUAAACUGUAAAAACCAUCUCUUCUGUCCUAGAGCCCUGGUGACAAUGGCUAGUGUGCCACUAGCGUUAUGCUCUCAAGAGUCAGCCCUGUGCUGCAAGGUUCCCACAAGGCAAGUGACCUGCUUCCUAAGCAGCUCUACAUUCUCAGUGAGCAGUGGGGAAGUUCCUUCUCUCUGGAACUUAAGAGGUUCAUCUGUGAGACCAGCUUACCCAGCAUUCUACAGUUCCAAGUACAGAAAGGUACCAAGGCCCAAAUUCAAUGCCUGGAGGGACUAAACUUUUAAGACUGAGCUCCUAAAAACAGGUGUCAUGGCCAGGCGCGGUGGCUCACGCCUGUAAUCCCAGCACUUUGGGAGGCCAAGGAAGGCAGAUCACGAGGUCAGGAGAUCGAGACCAUCCUGGCUAACACAGUGAAACCUUGUUUCUACUAAAAACAGAAAAAAAUUAGCUGGGCAUGGUGGCGGGCACCUGUAGUCCCAGCUACUCGGGAGGCUGAGGCAGGAGAAUGGCGUGAAUCCAGGAGGUGGAGCUUGCAGUGAGCCGAGAUCGCACCACCGCACUCCAGCCUGGGCAACAGAGCAAGACUCCAUCUCAAAAAAAAAAAAAAAAAAAAAACAGGUGUCAUUACUCCCUCUGAGAACAACGGAUUCUGUAUACAGAGAAUAUCCCUUUCUUGACAGUUCAGCAAAACUUCCUUGAAAAAAAUUUCUGCAACAGAAAGGCUGUUACCAACAUAUUCAUUAUCUAAGUUUGAAAACUUGUGUUAAGUUAUUGACGCAUCACAGACCCAGAGCGGGGAGGGUCGGCACAGCUACAGUACUUCAGACUAAACUUAAAUGCUGGGGUCGCAGGCUGGGGGAGUUCUCAGGGCUCGCAGGGUGCUUGCACACAGUCCCCACUCGGCUUUACCGAUCUGAACUUCCACCUGGGAGAAAAUCAUCUUGAGGGAGCAGAGGACACAGGAGCCUGGACCUGUCAGCACCACCUACUGACCACAGGCUCAACAACAGCCCCACGUAGCUGAUGGAAGCCAUCACCACUGGCAACCCAGCCUGCACACCAGAGAGCAGUCCUGUGGGACUGGGACUGUGGAGUCCUGUGGACUCCACAUGGAACCUGACAGGCACUCCUUGAGCACACCGCCCCCAGAGGAAAGUGACCAGGACACAGGCUCAAGCCGGAAUCCAAUGAGCUGAAGGGCUGCUAGCAUAUAAAAGAGAGUCCAACUGCUCUGUCAUACUGGACCCACAAUAGCACUGGCUGGCUGGCAAAGCCGUUAGCUCUCUCUCCUGCCACAUCUCUGUCUAACAGAGCUGCCAGAGACAAGGGCACUUAACCCAACCUGCUUCCUGCCUCUGCAUACGAGAACCCAAGGCUCUACCCUGAAAAUUAAAAAUAUCCCCAGGCUCGGUCUGGCCCGUUUAUACACUGAAGUGAAUGGAUUGACUAUUCAGUGAAAGUUGGGCUCUGAACCUGCCUGCCCUGAGGGAAGCAACACCACAUAUCCUCUCUUUGCUGCUUCCAAGAAGGGCUCUAAGUGUAGGGCAUUAAAGCCCAGCUGCUGGUGAGUAGUGAUAUGAGAAUGAAAGCGUUUUUCUCCUCACAACUCCUUAACCAUCAGUAACUAAAUAAAAUCUAUUUCAAACAGAA